AGUGAACGCUGGCGGUAGGCCUAACACAUGCAAGUCGAACGGCAGCACAGUAAGAGCUUGCUCUUACGGGUGGCGAGUGGCGGACGGGUGAGGAAUACAUCGGAAUCUACUUUUUCGUGGGGGAUAACGUAGGGAAACUUACGCUAAUACCGCAUACGACCUACGGGUGAAAGCAGGGGAUCUUCGGACCUUGCGCGAUUGAAUGAGCCGAUGUCGGAUUAGCUAGUUGGCGGGGUAAAGGCCCACCAAGGCGACGAUCCGUAGCUGGUCUGAGAGGAUGAUCAGCCACACUGGAACUGAGACACGGUCCAGACUCCUACGGGAGGCAGCAGUGGGGAAUAUUAGACAAUGGGCGCGAGCCUGAUCCAGCCAUACCGCGUGGGUGAAGAAGGCCUUCGGGUUGUAAAGCCCUUUUGUGGGGAAAGAAAAGCAGCAGGUUAAUACCCCGCUGUUCUGACGGUACCCAAAGAAUAAGCACCGGCUAACUUCGUG
rnacentral:rRNA from 1 species